UAUUGCUUGCUUUCCAUCUCCUCCCCCAAUUUCUCUCUGUUCAACCACCGCCCCUUCAUCAAUUUCACUAUAAACCAAACCCAUUUCACCAAAAUCCAACAGAACCAAAAUUAACCCAUCGCCAUGGACACAAUCCAGCACAGAACUGUGACCGUUAAUGGCAUAAACAUGCACAUAGCCGAGAAGGGCGAAGGCCCAGUUGUGCUUCUCAUCCAUGGCUUCCCAGAGCUUUGGUAUACAUGGCGCCAUCAGAUUUUAGCCUUGAGCUCACUUGGGUACCGCGCUGUGGCGCCGGACCUUCGUGGCUAUGGCGAUUCUGAUGCCCCUGCUUCCGUUUCUAGCUACUCCAUUAUGCAUAUCGUUGGGGAUCUUGUUGCUCUUAUUGAGAGUCUUGGGGUUAAGGAGGUUUUACUUGUGGCGCAUGACUGGGGCGCUUUGAUCGCAUGGUGUUUGUGUUUAUUCCGAGCUGAGAUUGUUAAGGCUUUUGUGUGUUUAAGCGUGCCGUUUAGGCCAAGGCAUCCGGAUAUGAAGCCUGUUGAGACCAUGAGGAAGUUUUUUGGGGAUGAUUACUACAUCUGCAGAUUCCAGAAUCCAGGAGAGAUUGAAGAAGAGAUGGCCCAGGUGGGUGCCAAAGAAGUACUAAGAGGCAUACUGACAACAAGAAGACCAGGUCCUCCCAUUUUACCCAAAGGGCAAGCCUUCAGAGCCAGGCCGGGAUCCCCAUCUUCCUUGCCCUCUUGGCUUUCAGAAGAAGAUCUUUCUUACUUUGCCUCCAAAUAUGAGCAGAAGGGGUUCACUGGACCAUUGAACUAUUACAGAUCAAUGGACUUAAACUGGGAGCUCACAGCCCCAUGGACAGGGGUGCAAGUGAAAGUGCCAGUGAAAUUCAUAGUUGGAGAUGCUGACAUGGUAUAUACAACACCAGGGGUUAAGGAAUAUGUCAAUGGUGGAGGUUUCAAGAAAGAUGUGCCAUUUCUGCAAGAAGUUGUGAUAAUGGAGGGAGUUGGCCAUUUCCUCAACCAGGAGAAGCCUGAAGAGAUUAACACUCACAUCCAUGACUUCAUCAGAAGAUUCUAGUCUGAUUCAACAAAGAUUUUAGAAAGUUUUUACUCUUCCAAAAUACAUGGAUUGAUUUUUCAGCUUAUGGUGUUUGUCUGCUUCUUUUUAAGUGAUUAGUAUGUUUGAGAAUCCAGAUGGUUGUUUUCUAUGGGAGCUACUAUUUACAAUAUGCAUGCUUUGCUCCAUGAAAGUUGUUCCUAAAUAAAAGUUGAUGAAAACAUAUAUGGCG
rnacentral:misc_RNA from 1 species